UACGUAGGUGGCGAGCGUUGUCCGGAUUUACUGGGCGUAAAGGGAGCGUAGGCGGGCUUUUAAGUGAGAUGUGAAAUACUCGAGCUCAACUUGAGUGCUGCAUUUCAAACUGGAAGUCUAGAGUGCAGGAGAGGAGAAUGGAAUUCCUAGUGUAGCGGUGAAAUGCGUAGAGAUUAGGAAGAACACCAGUGGCGAAGGCGAUUCUCUGGACUGUAACUGACGCUGAGGCUCGAAAGCGUGGGGAGCAAACAGG
rnacentral:rRNA from 1 species